rnacentral:rRNA from 1 species
UUUUAGCGGCGGACGGGUGAGUAACACGUGGGUAACCUACCUUAUAGAUUGGGAUAACUCCGGGAAACCGGGGCUAAUACCGAAUAAUACUUUUUAACACAUGUUUGAAAGUUGAAAGACGGUUUCGGCUGUCACUAUAAGAUGGACCCGCGGCGCAUUAGCUAGUUGGUGAGGUAACGGCUCACCAAGGCAACGAUGCGUAGCCAACCUGAGAGGGUGAUCGGCCACACUGGGACUGAGACACGGCCCAGACUCCUACGGGAGGCAGCAGUAGGGAAUCUUCCACAAUGGACGAAAGUCUGAUGGAGCAACGCCGCGUGAGUGAAGAAGGAUUUCGGUUCGUAAAACUCUGUUGCAAGGGAAGAACAAGUAGCGUAGUAACUGGCGCUACCUUGACGGUACCUUGUUAGAAAGCCACGGCUAACUACGUGCCAGCAGCCGCGGUAAUACGUAGGUGGCAAGCGUUGUCCGGAAUUAUUGGGCGUAAAGCGCGCGCAGGUGGUUCCUUAAGUCUGAUGUGAAAGCCCCCGGCUCAACCGGGGAGGGUCAUUGGAAACUGGGGAACUUGAGUGCAGAAGAGGAUAGUGGAAUUCCAAGUGUAGCGGUGAAAUGCGUAGAGAUUUGGAGGAACACCAGUG